rnacentral:lncRNA from 1 species
GAUGAAAAGCAGAAACAAUAAAUACUGAAGCACUAUUUUGGAUCAUGGACGCUGGAGCCAAAUUUCCUGGGUCAAACCUGGCUCCUCACUGAUGACUUGCAUGGUCAACAAGUUACUUAUGCUUCUUGCCUCAGCUUCUUAACUGUGAAUGGGGAUAACAUUGCUCUGUGCCUUCUGCCUUGAAGAGAAUUCAAUGAGUUCAUAUGUAUGGAGCACCUAGAACAUGGUCCACACUGUGUAAGCACAGUGCAAACAUAGUUAUUAAGGAUCCUUGGGAUCACACUGAAGUGGCUUUCCUUAAGUUCACCUGCCAAGAUGGGAGUUCCAUUUUCUUUAACAGCUGUGAUGUAUACAGGUGCAGAGGAUUAGGAUCUCAGAAAUGGGGAUCAACCAGAAAUGAGGUUAUUAAUUUGGUUUAUUAUCCCACAUGGUAGUGUGAUAAUAAACUAAAGGAUAAAAUAGGCCUACAUUCAGCUCAGGGAAAUAAAUAGAAGCUGGAAGGGGUAGGGGAGCAAAGCAAGAUUUAUAGUUUGGUGAGAGCCAGUGGGCCAGGAGCCACAAGGUUGAAAGAAAGAAGAAUCCAUUGGUCAGGUGAGUAGAAAAGGUAUAAGAUCACUCAAAGCAACAAUGAUCAGAUAAACAGACAUGUAGCAGAUAAGUGGGUAGAUAGAUAUAUACAAACAGUCAAACCUGAUCGUUUUAAGAGCUGCUGGAAAGAAUCAGUUUGGGCUCCAGAUGUAAAUAUGGAAGGGAAACAGAAAAGAUGUGUUGGAAUUGACAGAUUGCUCACUUCAAAAAGAUGAAAAUUGUUAUAGUAUCACAAGCCCCAAUGUGGGGAAGUUCGUUCAAUUUCUUCUCAAGAAAUUCAUUGGAUUCAAAGGGUUAACUCGAAAGAGUGUUGUCAAUGACAGCAGGCUUUUGGUAUUCUUCCUAACAGCUGAGGCACAGACCCAACACCCUGCUCCACACAAAGCUAAGAUGGUAAAAGUGAAAGAAACAUUAUAUCUGCCACCUCUUUGUGCACUCAGAUUAGUUAAACUGAUUCAAGUGAAAAAUCCUGGGUGAUCAUCUUUACAGCUGCUUUGCCAUAGAAAGCAUCUGCUGUGGGUCCAAGUGUAAAACUCACACUCCUAGCUAACAGGGGGAGUGUGAUCCAGGGAGGAUACAGAGAUCAGGCUCAGGGUGGGGAAUAGUGAGCACCAGGCAAAAGGGUAUCCUGAGCUUCUGAGUUGGAAGCUUCUCUAAAAAUCAAGAGUAGCUAAGUGUAGAUGAUGAAAUGAUGCUCUCAAGCACUUUGUCCACAAGGAACAAGAUACAUCAGACUCAGCUGCCUCUCCUCCUGUUUACAUUAGGGCAUGAGAUACCAGGGUUAUUCAAGUUCUAGUAAUGAUCAGGCAUAGGUAAAGUAAUGGUAUUCAUUAAUACAGGUACAACCAGAAAAAUCAUUGUCAUAAUUUUUGAUAUAUGUAUUUAAUUGACAUUUAAUAAUUAUGCAUAUUAUGGGAUAAAGGGUGACAUUCCAAUGUAUAUAACAUAU